GCAAACUUGGUCAUUUAGAGGAAGUAAAAGUCGUAACAAGGUUUCCGUAGGUGAACCUGCGGAAGGAUCAUCAUGGUAACACUGCCAUUCUUUGGCUGGGCUUGGGUCCGCGUGGUGCUCGCCACAUGGGCCGGCCCCCCAUUUGAUUCCCAGCAAACAGACAGCAAGGCAUGGAUGGCUGAGAAGAGUGUUGUGGAGGGAGCAGACACAACUUUCAACAACGGAUCACUUGGCUCUCACAUCGAUGAAGAACGCAGC
rnacentral:misc_RNA from 1 species